AUGACUCUCCAUAAAUACCCGCUGAAUGGAUUUGGAUUUUAUUAUUUCUUGGCAUUGUUGACACUUCUUAUGACACAAGUUGCGCUGGGAGUCAUGCUGACUAGUGGCUGCGCGACAGCCCGACACUGCCACACGGAGGAGCUGCCGGGAGUCAACAUCCACUGCUGCGACUCUGAUCUGUGCAACAGCGCCACCCGCUGGCGGACAUCCACACUGCUGCCUGUUUGCUCAUUGACGUUUAAUCUGUUGUUUCAAAGGUUGCUCCUGUGGACGAAAUAACUUUGACCUUCACCACAAAAUCACGGCAGCUACGCUUCCGAUUCGAGACAUACAUACAGGAGGGAACUUGAAAAUAUAACUAUAAAAGAUGUAAACAGACCCUGGAGAAUUAUGUGUGGAUAAACCAAACCUUCACGUAUCACAUCUGAUCUUCAGUUUAAAGUUAUCUUUGGAUCAUUUUUAAAUCAUUAAAUCAUCAUCCAAAAAUAAAUAAAUAAAUAAAAUAAAUUCA
ensembl:lncRNA